AGGGCACCACCAGGAGUGGAGCCUGCGGCUUAAUUUGACUCAACACGGGAAAACUCACCCGGCCCGGACACCGUAAGGAUUGACAGACUGAGAGCUCUUUCUUAAUUCAGUGGGUGGUGGUGCAUGGCCGUCCUUAGUUGGUGGAGCGAUUUGUCUGGUUAAUUCCGAUAACGAACGAGACUCUGGCCUAUUAAAUAGACGAGGUAUUUACAUGUAUCUCGCGCUUCUUAGGGGGGCAAGCGGCGUCUAGUCGCAUGAAAAAGAGCAAUAACAGGUCUGUGAUGCCCUUAGAUGUCCGGGGCUGCACGCGCGCUACACUGAAAGAAUCAGCGUGCAUUCAAACCUAGUCCGGAAGGACCGGGUAACCCGAGUAAAUUCUUUCGUGCUUGGGAUAGGGAAUUGCAAUUAUUUCCCUUAAACGAGGAAUUCCCAGUAAAUGCGGGUCAUAAGCUCGCGUUGAUUACGUCCCUGCCCUUUGUACACACCGCCCGUCGCUACUACCGAUUGGAUGACUUAGUG
rnacentral:rRNA from 1 species